rnacentral:lncRNA from 1 species
AUGGUUCAGAUACAAGUGACUAAAAAAUUGGAAGUUUCGCUGCAGAGCCGCUGGGGUGAGAAGAGAAGAAGGUCUGCAGAGUUCGCCAAACAAGGAUGUCCUCCAGUGAGCUGCCGGCAUUUCAGGCCUGGUGAAGGAGACGGCGAAGGUUGUGUGAGACAGCCAUCAUUUGGGGUCAUCUACCUAAUAGGUCCAAGAGGUAGGUUGUGUGCUCGCCCUUGUAAACAGGUGAGGAUACUCGGGUUGGAAGAGGUCAGCUGA